GAACGCUGAAACCGGAGCUUGCUUUGGUGGAUGAGUGGCGAACGGGUGAGUCACACGUGGGUCAUCUGCCCUACACUUUGGGAUAAGCCUGGGAAACUGGGUCUAAUACCGAAUAUUCACACCACCGUAGGGGUGGUGUGGAAAGCCUUAUGCGGUGUGGGAUGAGCCUGCGGCCUAUCAGCUUGUUGGUGGGGUAAUGGCCUACCAAGGCGUCGACGGGUAGCCGGCCUGAGAGGGUGUACGGCCACAUUGGGACUGAGACACGGCCCAGACUCCUACGGGAGGCAGCAGUCGGGAAUAUUGCACAAUGGGCGCAAGCUGAAUGCAGCAACGCCGCGUGGGGGAUGAAGGCCUUCGGGUUGUAAACUCCUUUCGCUAGGGACGAAGCCUUAUGGUGACGGUACCUGGAGAAGAAGCACCGGCUAACUACGUCCCAGCAGCCGCGGUAAUACGUAGGGUGCCAGCCUUGUCCGGAAUUACUGGGCGUAAAGAGCUCGUAGGUGGUUUGUCGCGUCGUCUGUUAAAUCCCGGGGCUUAACUUCGGGCGUGCAGGCGAUACGGGCAUAACUUGAGUUCUGUAGGGGAGACUGGAAUUCCUGGUGUAGCGGUGAAAUGCGCAGAUAUCAGGAGGAA
rnacentral:rRNA from 1 species